rnacentral:lncRNA from 1 species
UUUUAAUCGUUAUUCAUGCAAAAUGAAAAUUAUAAUAAACAGUUGCAUUUUAAAAACUAAAUGUUCAUUUGAAGAACGUUUUCCCAUAUAUAAUAAUAAAUCAACUCAUAUUGUGAGUCAGACUGGUUACCCUACUUUCAGAGUGUACUUGCCUACUUCUGCCAUGCGCAAAAGGGUUGAGGAGUCUCUCAUCAGUGGUCAGACAGUACAAUACAUUAAGCUAAAUUUGCAGAUUAAAACCUGUUUUUAACCUACAAAAUAAGACUUGUGCAUCUGACCCUUAGAGAAAUUAGCUAAAAAUUAUAAUUCAAAGAUGGUACCAC